AGUGGGAGCACUCCCAACUCCAACCCCUUUCUGAGACUCAACUAUAUUCCUGCCCUUGGGUUCCGAGAAGUACCCCAUUAUUUCCCUUCGAUGCUUGAGUAGGUUCCUGUUACUUGCAAUUGCUGUCCUAAUAGUCGGGGUGCUGUGCACAAAUGACAGUCAUAUGAAGCUGGCUGAGAAACUUACACUGUCCCAGCUGUCUGUCUUGGGAUCUCUUUCAGCCACCUUGAGGUAACCCCUGGGCACACUGUUCAACAGGCAGGGGAGGUGGUGGGAACCUUGGGGCAUUGAGAGAUGAGUCCAAGAUGUUUCCUGUCCGCGAAAGCCCAUCGGGAAGCAGGCUGUAGCUCUGGGAUUCCCAUAUGCCAGGAGGGCUCCACUUAAAGUCUCCAGAGAGAGCCCCUCCUUAAAGAAGAGCCAACCCUGUUGGAGACAGGAGUGGAGGAGACAGGUUGAGGGAAGGCGUGAGCAUGGCAGGGACCCUGGUGCAGCUGACACAUGAGCUGAGGAAGUCCAUACCACAGCUUGCCUGCCGUCUCUGUUGGUCUGAUUCAGGAGUGACCUCUCCCUACCUCGGAAUGCAGCUGGAAGACUGGAGGUGCCAUUUACCAAAAUAGGGAAGACAGAGUGGAAGCAGGAACAAGUUGGAGUCGGGGAGGAAACCAAAAGUUAGCUUUAGGAAUGUUAAUUUUGAGAUAUCUGUUAGACUUAAAGUUAAAAUGUCCCGUAAGCAGUUAGAUGUCCCUCCCCAUUACCCAGCCAGUCUUCCCCGUCAGUAAAUGGUGCCGCCCUUCUUCCAAUUGCUUAGGGAAAAACCUCCAAGGCAAUCUUAGUUCGUUUCUUGCUUUCACAUCCCACAUCCAGUCCACCAUCAAAGCUAGUCAAUGACUCCUUCAGAAUAUAUUCCAACUCUGACCACUUCUCAUCACCUCCACCACUACCAUUAUGAGCCAGGCCACCAUCCGCUCUUACGUGGGUUAUUCCAGUUGCUUUCUAACUGCUCCUCCAGCUUCCUCCCUCGCCCUCUUAGAGUCUGUUCUCCACAGCAGCCAGAGCAAUUCUUUGAAAAUAUGUCCCUCUGCUGCUUAAAGCCCUCCAUUGACUUCCCACCUUGCUCAGAGUAAAAUCCAAAGUCCUCCUCAUGCCCCUCACCUGCCUUGCCACCUCUCGGUCCUCAUCUUCCACCCUUUCCUGGGUCUACUGUAUUCCAGACACUCUGGCUUCCUUGUCUUUCCUUGAUUUCCCCAAAUGUGCUCUCACCUCAGGGCCUUUGCAUUGGCGAUUCCCUGUGUUAGGA
rnacentral:lncRNA from 1 species